UACGGGGGGGGCAAGCGUUGUUCGGAAUUACUGGGCGUAAAGGGCUCGUAGGCGGCCAACUAAGUCAGACGUGAAAUCCCUCGGCUUAACCGGGGAACUGCGUCUGAUACUGGAUGGCUUGAGUUUGGGAGAGGGAUGCGGAAUUCCAGGUGUAGCGGUGAAAUGCGUAGAUAUUGUGAGGAACACUAGUGGCGAAGGCGAGACUCUGGACAGUUCCUGACGCUGAGGCACGAAGGCCAGGGGAGCAAACGGG
rnacentral:rRNA from 1 species